rnacentral:rRNA from 1 species
GUAGGAUCCGAGCGUUAUCCGAAUUUACUGGGCGUAAAGCGUGUGUAGGCGGUUUGAUAAGUUGGAUGUUAAAGCUCCCGGCUCAACUGGGAGAAGCCGUUCAAAACUAUCAGACUAGAGGACGGUAGAGGGAGGUAGAAUUCCCGGUGUAGUAGUGAAAUGCGUAGAUAUCGGGAGGAAUACCAGUGGCGAAGGCAGCCUCCUGGACCGUUCCUGACGCUCAGACACGAAAGCUAGGGGAGCGAACGGGAUUAGAAACCCCGGUAGUCCUAGCUGUAAACGAUGCAAACUUGGUGUUGGUGGGGUAAAAUCCGCCGGUGCCGAAGCUAACGCGAUAAGUUUGCCGCCUGGGGACUACGGCCGCAAGGUUA